CCUUUGUAUGGGCAUCAUCCUUAUAUUGUCUGCAAGGAGCACUCAGGAAAUAGAGAUUAAUUACACAAGAAUAUGUGCAAAUUGUGCAAAACUGCAAGAAAAUGCCUCUAAUUUUGACAAGGAAUGCACCUGCUCUAUUCCCUUUUACCUUUCAGGAAAAAUGAUGGGUAAUGUUUAUAUGUACUACAAAUUGUAUGGCUUCUAUCAGAACCUGUAUCUAUAUAUUCGAUCCAGAAGUAAUAGACAACUGGUGGGCAAAGAUGUAAAAGUAAGGCUUAAUUUAAUCUGGUAUAAUACUCUUUUUCUUUUUUUAAACCAAGUGGAUUUUUCAGUCUAAAAGAGGAGAUGGAAAAUAAACUAAAAUGCUACAAAACAGAAA
rnacentral:sRNA from 1 species